rnacentral:tRNA from 1 species
AGACGCUACGGACUUAAUUUUUGAGCCUUAGUAGAAAAAUCUACUAAGUUACUGUUUUCACAUUCAGGGAAACCUAAGGUUUAAAACAUGAGGUAAUCCUGAGCCAAAUUUCAAUUAUGAAAUAGGUGCAGAGACUCAAAGGAAACUAUCCGAACGAAAAACUGAACACUAAUAUAAAAUAUUAAUAUUAGUUUUUAAAUAACUUUUAAUAGACGAGGAUAAAGAUAGAGUCCUUUUUUACAAUCUAUAUAAUUUUUCCUUAUAGAUAAUUGUAAAAAGAAAAUCCGUUGGCUUUAAUAGACCUUGAGGGUUCAAGUCCCUCUACCCCCA